GGAGAUGGGGACCUUGGCCUACGCCUUGCUGGAGAUGGAGAUCGAUGUCUGCCUGGUGAAAAUCUGUGUCGAACAGGAGACCUUCGACGUGCAGGAGAUGGUGACCUCCUUGGCGCACGAGCUGGUGAACGACGAUGGCGAGGAGAAGGUGACCUUCGUGAUCCAGAUGAUGGUGAUUUUCUGCGAAGAGGAGAUCUCCUGCGUGAAGGUGGGGACGGAUACCUUGACAGUGAAGGUGACCCUCUCCUUGAAUAAGGUGAUCUCCUUCUAGAAAUUGAAGGGGUACUUCUUGGAGAAUGCCUUCGGGGAGAAGCAGAGCGUCUAGGUGAAGUUGAACGCCGUGAUGAUCUACGAUGUCUAUCAAUGGAGCGGGAACGCCUGGAAGGAGAUCGAGAACGCUUUCUGGGAGAAAUAGAUCUUUGCCUACCAUGGGGUGACAAAGAUAUGCUCCUGGAUCUGCGACUUCCCC
rnacentral:lncRNA from 1 species